rnacentral:rRNA from 1 species
UACAGAGGGGGCAAGCGUUGUUCGGAAUUACUGGGCGUAAAGGGCGCGUAGGCGGCCGCCUAAGUCAGACGUGAAAUCCCUCGGCUCAACCGGGGAACUGCGUCUGAUACUGGGUGGCUUGAAUUCGGGAGAGGGAUGCGGAAUUCCAGGUGUAGCGGUGAAAUGCGUAGAUAUCUGGAGGAACACCGGUGGCGAAGGCGGCAUCCUGGACCGAGAUUGACGCUGAGGCGCGAAAGCUAGGGGAGCAAACGGG